AACCUGAGGCACAAAGAGGUUUAAAGGAUUUUUAAAGGCAACACAAAAGAGUCUGUGGCACAACCAACAAUAAGGCUCCAGACCUGUGUUUUACUCACAUGACUCCAAACAAGGGGAGUUAAAGAUCUCAGCCGGAACCUACAAAAUGAAAAAUUGAUAUGAUCACUCCACUUACUCAGCAGCUUUAAGGACACACAGCUUCUCCUGAGAUGGAAGUGUCACUAUGUAAUAUCUUACUAGGGCAUGAGAAAGACCCACCAAGACUUCUUACCCCCCUCUCUACAAAUCAUGCAUUUUUGGCUACCAACCUGACCAGAAAGCAUAUCCAAAAGAACCAAUGGAUGGUUGAAACAAUCACCUGCAGAAAAUAUGAAAUCUGAAUACACAAAGAAAUAAUUGGAGCUAUUUGGCUGCAGCACAGAACCAACAUGAAACAGAGGACAGUGAUUCAGGAAUAAUGUCAGAAAGAAGGGAAGAUAAAGUAAAUGAACUUCUGACAAACAGGAAAUCUACUGCAGAAGUCACCAAACUAAUGAAGUUUAAAGAGGAAGAUGUCUCAAAGAUGGACAAAAGUGAGAUCUUGAGGGACUGAAGAGCAAGGAUGUUUACAAAGACCGUCUCAGUCAGGAACUACGGAAAAGCUUAA